rnacentral:misc_RNA from 1 species
AAGUCGUAACAGAAUUGGGUUCUGAGAAUCUAGUCUUCUUCAUACCCACCGCUGGAAAACUAUGUCUUCCCGCAAAAACGAUGCGCCUGGCCCUGAGAAGCUGAGUGCGUUGGAAACCCCGAACAACUGUUAACAAUGGAUAUCUUGGCUCUC